rnacentral:rRNA from 1 species
AUUGAAACUGGGAGACUUGAGUAUGUUUGAGGUAGGCGGAAUGCGUGGUGUAGCGGUGAAAUGCAUAGAUAUCACGCAGAACUCCGAUUGCGAAGGCAGCUUGCCAAGCCAUAACUGACACUGAAGCACGAAAGCGUGGGUAUCAAACAGGAUUAGAUACCCUGGUAGUCCACGCAGUAAACGAUGAUUACUAGGAGUUUGCGAUAAAAUGUAAGCUCUACAGCGAAAGCGUUAAGUAAUCCACCUGGGGAGUACGCCGGCAACGGUGAAACUCAAAGGAAUUGACGGGGGCCCGCACAAGCGGAGGAACAUGUGGUUUAAUUCGAUGAUACGCGAGGAACCUUACCCGGGUUUGAACGCAGUCCGACCGCCGAUGAAAGUCAGCUUCUAGCAAUAGCGGAUUGCGAGGUGCUGCAUGGUUGUCGUCAGCUCGUGCCGUGAGGUGUCGGCUUAAGUGCCAUAACGAGCGCAACCCUUGCCGUUAGUUACUAACAAGUUAUGUUGAGGACUCUAGCGGGACUGCCAGCGUAAGCUGUGAGGAAGGCGGGGAUGACGUCAAAUCAGCACGGCCCUUACAUCCGGGGCGACACACGUGUUACAAUGGCGUGGACAAAGAGCAGCCACUUGGCGACAAGGAGCUAAUCUCCAAACCACGUCUCAGUUCGGAUCGGAGUCUGCAACUCGACUCCGUGAAGCUGGAUUCGCUAGUAAUCGCGCAUCAGCCAUGGCGCGGUGAAUACGNUNNNNNNNCUUGUACACACCGCCCGUCAAGCCAUGGGAGNCNNNNNNNNNUGAAGGCCGUAACCGCGAGGAUCGGCCUAGGGUAAAACUGGUGAAGGGGGCUAAGUCGUAACAAGGUAACC